AGUCAUAGACGCGAAACCUAGUGAUCUAGGCCUGUCCAGGCUGAAGCUGAGGUAAGACUCAGUGGAGGGCCGAACUCACCGCCGUUGAAAAGUUGGGAGAUGAGAUAGGUCUAGGGGUGAAAAGCCAAUCGAACUAGGAAAUAGCCCGUUCUCUCCGAAAUGCAUUUAGGUGCAGCCUGAAUUUUAGAUAUCUGGGGGUAGAGCACUGUAUGAUCUAGGGGGCAUAUUGCUUACCGAAAUCAAGCAAACUACGAAUACCAUUUAUUACUGAUUCGGAGUGAGUCCGUGGAUGAUAAGGUCCGCGGACAAAAGGGAAACAGCCCAGACCACCAGCUAAGGUCCCUAAUUAUGUCUAAGUGGGAAAGGAGGUGGAUAUUCACAGACAACCAGGAGGUUGGCUUAGAAGCAGCCAUGCCUUGAAAGAGUGCGUAAUAGCUCACUGGUCGAGAGUAUCUGCGCCGAAGAUGUAACGGGGCUAAAGACAUAAACCGAAGCUGUGGAAGCGGUUUUGCCGCUUGGUAGGAGAGCGUUCUGUAGGUCUAUGAAGGCCGGCUGUAAGGCCGGCUGGAGACAUCAGAAGCGAGAAUGCAGGAAUGAGUAGCGAGAAGGAGGGUGAGAAUCCCUCCGGCCGGAAGUCCAAGGUUUCCGGGGGAAGGUUCGUCCGCCCCGGGGAAGUCGGGACCUAAGCGUAAGCAGAGAUGUGAUUGCGAAUGGUAAAUAGGUUAAUAUUCCUAUACCACUAUCAGUCGUUUGAGUGAUGGAGUGACGCAGUAAGGUAUGUGAGAAGGCUGUCGGAUUAGCCUUUCUAAGGGCGUAGCUUGGACACGCAGGUAAAUCCGCGUGUCUAUAGGUGAGACCUGAUGGGUAAGUGCUUUUGCAUAAGUCACAGAUCCUACACUGCCAAGAAAAACUUCUAACAAGACUCGUUAGUGCCCGUACCCUAAACCGACACAGGUGGACAGAGUGAGAAACUUAAGGCCGACAGGAUAACUCUAGCUAAGGAACUCUGCAAAAUAGCCCCGUAACUUCGGGAGAAGGGGUGCCUGAUAUACCUAAAGAGAGAAACACUCCCAGGGGAAACAGGCCGCAGUGAAGAGUCUCAAGCAACUGUUUACCAAAAACACAGGUCUAUGCUAAGCUGAAAGGCGACGUAUAUGGGCUGACACCUGCCCAGUGCCGGAAGGUUAAGAGGAGGAGUGAGAGCUCCAAUUUGAAGCCCCGGUGAACGGCGGCCGUAACUAUAACGGUCCUAAGGUAGCGAAAUUCCUUGUCGGGUAAGUUCCGACCUGCACGAAUGGUGAAAUGAUUUGAGAGCUGUCUUGGCUGGAGACCUGGUGAAGUUGUAAUGCCGGUGAAGAUACCGGCUACCUGCAGUAGGACGGAAAGACCCCGUGGAGCUUUACUGUAGCUUGGCAUUGGGUU
rnacentral:rRNA from 1 species